rnacentral:rRNA from 1 species
ACACAUGCAAGUCGAGCGGAUGAAGGGAGCUUGCUCCUGGAUUCAGCGGCGGACGGGUGAGUAAUGCCUAGGAAUCUGCCUGGUAGUGGGGGAUAACGUCCGGAAACGGGCGCUAAUACCGCAUACGUCCUGAGGGAGAAAGUGGGGGAUCUUCGGACCUCACGCUAUCAGAUGAGCCUAGGUCGGAUUAGCUAGUUGGUGGGGUAAAGGCCUACCAAGGCGACGAUCCGUAACUGGUCUGAGAGGAUGAUCAGUCACACUGGAACUGAGACACGGUCCAGACUCCUACGGGAGGCAGCAGUGGGGAAUAUUGGACAAUGGGCGAAAGCCUGAUCCAGCCAUGCCGCGUGUGUGAAGAAGGUCUUCGGAUUGUAAAGCACUUUAAGUUGGGAGGAAGGGCAGUAAGUUAAUACCUUGCUGUUUUGACGUUACCAACAGAAUAAGCACCGGCUAACUUCGUGCCAGCAGCCGCGGUAAUACGAAGGUGCAAGCGUUAAUCGGAAUUACUGGGCGUAAAGCGCGCGU